rnacentral:lncRNA from 1 species
CAUCCCACAAAAACACAGGGUGAUCAUAUCACAAUAAAUGUAGUUAGGCAGAGUGAAGGAGGAGGCUUGGCUGGCACUGCUAAGUCUUCCUCAGCAACCCCUGUGCAAGAAGAGAUCCAGAAGUUCCUGCAUUAAAGGUAGAGGGAUGAAGGCCAGAAAACCAGGAUAAGGUACAGCAUGAUGGAUGGCAAGCAAGGAGGACCUGACCCAGCAUGAACUGAGAUAAAGGAAGAGAAGAAGAGGACAGUCAUCAAGGUGGCUGUGGGAAAGGAGAUGCAGGAGGAGACAAUGGCAGGAGAAAUUAAGUCAAAUUAAGUCUUUGUGGGCAGCAGGUAAAGCCUCCACUUCCUUCCUCCAUCAGGGCAGCUGUUUCUGGAUUGCUCUUUGUAACACAAGGAUGUAAGGUCUUUUUGUACUUGCUGAUAUUGUCUGCCAGAUUACAGGAUGCCCAAAGCCCAUCCCCACAUGGCUGAACAUCAGGACCUCCAAGCAACAGGCACACAACACAGAGUAGCAUGUCCAGUGAACCUUGUUAAUGAUCAGAAGAUCUUCCCGGGGGUAAACACAAGGGUCUGAGUAGUAUGAGAUCACCUUUUGAAUUGUUAAUUCCCCCACAGACCUGGAGAACAACUCACCAACUGCCUCAUGAAAAUUCAUGAGCAACAGAAAGAAUCCAGUUGUGUCUUGUGCCAGCGUUUGCCAGGAUUGGAGAGAGGUGCCCCUUAGCUCUGUGGGCUGGCUGCAGAGCUGCCAUCUUUGCAUGUUUGACCCCUGCCUUCCGAAUCUCAUCGUGUGUGUCAGGCACUGGCUCCCAAUUCCCUCAGCUUCAGGAAGCAUGCUCUAUCUGCGUGUACCAGCUUAUGCCCCUGUGUCAGUCCGUGGCCUGACCUCUCGUCUGGACAUUUUCUGUUCCAAGUCCCUCUAAUAACUUUUACUUUGUCCACAUCAAACCUACUCUAGAUUUUGCUUAACUUUUUUUUGUGAUUAAAGCUUUGUAGCUUCAAGAAGCUUAGACUUUUUUUUAAUAAGUUUUUUCUCAUAUGAGGUUAUUUAUAAGAACCUCUCAUAUAUAAGAUGUGGGGUAAGUACUGGAAAUAUAAAGACGAAUCAAGAAUAAUACAGACCAGGAACCUCAACAUAAGGUGGAAGUGCUACAACAGAGACUUGGAGAUUUUCUCUCCCCGCCGGGGGUGAAGGAGGAAGAGAAACUAAUGUCCUGAGGUGGUCAACCCACCAGUGCUCAGAGUCAUCAUGAUGGCUCUGCAGACACACUGAACAAAAGGUAGCUAUUGCCCCACAGGAGUUCUGUAACGUGCUUGGUCAGGAGGAGAUGGAUCAGCACCCAGAAAACCAAAGUCAGUAAAUGUGACUGGUAGGGGAAGGGAGUGAGGUCAUGGGCAGAACUGAGGAACAGCUGCCACAUACUCCAGAGCAGCAAGUGCUACAGCCCAGAAGGAAGAGCAGCGUGUGGGGGAGAGGUACCAGGGACACCUCACGUGAAGCUUGACCGGCCAGAGGGGCUAAAGAAGCAAAAGGAAUUCAGUCAUCUCUAGCAUUGAAUUCUGGAAAUGAAUGACUACAGCAACUGGUGUCAUUUCAAUUCAACCUAAACCUCUAGAGCUAGAAGCAGCCCCACCAGGGAGAAGCUAGUGUCCCCACUUCUGAGCUCAACAGUGUCAUUGGCCUGCUGAAGGACAAAUGGUCAGAAACCAGUAGCUCAGACUCAUCCACUAGGAGAUCCUAAGCUGAAUCUCUGACCAAGAGGGACAGACACAUGUAAUCUACCUGCCUGUGCACGGUCUAUAUCACAAAAUCCCCUACUCAUAGUACAGCAAUAAUAUGCUCUAAACAAUUGGUUGUGCAUGUUGAUGGCAAGGCCAUGCACAUCCGGUAGUUGACCCUCUGGUGCUCAAAAAGGGGGUGGUCCCAGGAACCCGCUGCAUCUGGCUGGUGAGCAGUUCACAGAAGAGGCUUUAGGGCUGCUUCCAGGAAAUGCAAAGACUGAGUAUUCAGAGUAAGUAAGACCAAACCAGGGAGAGAGGGGAGACAGAAAGGGGAAAAAAGGCAACGAGUCAGAAGCUGGAGGAACAUUAAUCACAUCCCUAAAACUAGAAACGAACAAAGCAGAUGUUGGUAAAAUGAAGCAAGAACAGACUUGAGUGGAUUAGAGAGUGAUUUGGGGCUAUAAACUUCUGGCUGCAUAAUUCCUUUCUGCGUGAAGGCACAAAACAAUACAAAGAGGCCAGGCUGUGCUCCUUGGGUCCAUCAACAGGCCUGGAGGGACAGCAGCCAAACAGAAGGGGACAAAGCCAAAACCUGGUGCUCUCCUGAUGAGAGCUAUGGCAGAGCUUUGCACUCUCCUCUACCUACAGUUGCUAAAGUGGGAUCUACACACCCUUCAGGCGUGGCUUCUCAGACAGUUCCAUCUCGUCUCUCAUGGGCCUUAUUAUUUACCAAUAUCCAUGUAAAACAAUAAUCACACAAACAGUAAAAGCAUAAACAGAUACAGAAUAAUAAAAAUACCAAAUUCAGGAUAGUGGCUGCCAUUUAGGGGCAGGGUGGGAAACACAAUCAGGAGGGAACCCAAUCAGGUUUCAACUAUGUUGUAAUAUUUUAUUUCUUAAACUAAGGAUGGAGAAACCAGUGUUUGCUCCAUUCUCUCUGUGGUGAGAACUACUAUUACUCCCCAUUUUACAGAUAGGAACCUGGGCACAGAAAGGUUACAAAAUUUGCCUAAGAUCACACAGUAACAAGUGGCAGGGUCGGAACUUGAAUCGGGUCAGCUGUCUCCAAGUCACCACGUUUACUAGAUUCACACAAAACUGAGGCCAGACGUGGAACAGAGCCUGUGUGAAGCUGACCAGGGAGUUGUUAAAGGGAGCUGACAGAGGUUAUUUCAAGCAGGAAACAAAGAAACAAACCAAAAAAACAAAGGGAACGAGCUCUAAAGGUCCUCAGAAAAUCCAGCCUCAAAGAGCACAACGUAUGCAAAGGUAUUUGAAAUCAAAUGAGGGUGCGGUGUGUUGUGGUGAGCAACUCCAGAUGAACAGAUUUGCUCUUUGAGUUGUUUCAAGCUAACUAAUACCAGGUCAAAGAAGCACAGGCACAAUGAGAGAUACCUUUUUCUGCUAUAAAGGGCAGGUAACGUGAAAGACAGGGACAAGAAGACAGGCACUUAGUGUGCCAAGGACCAUCAAUCUCGGGAAGCCUUUCAGCUGCUCCCAGAGGUGGUCUCGGUCAAGGUCAAGAGUCAGCCCCAGAAAGAGCUUCAACAGCUGCAUGAAAAUUGCCUCCUGGCCUCCCAUCAGCCUCCCCUGCUUUGUCCUUAAAUGAGAGGAGCCAGUGAUCUGUAGAAAGGGCUCUACACUGGGCAACCAUGAACUAACACUCUCCCAGGUAUAGAAAAGAAAAAAAGUCACCUUUCUCGUUCAGUUUGUUCUGUGGCAGAAUUUCAAAGAACUGUGGAUGCAUCCUCCCUCUGGAAAUCUCCACUUCCUCUCUGUCCCUGUGGCCCGACACAGCACCUGGCACCCAACAUUUAGAGAGCGAAUUAGCGAGUAGAAAUUUCUUUAUGGAGACCUAAUGAAACUUUGAUGAACUGAUGUGAAUUAAAUGACCAUCACUUUUUCAAUGAUCACAGUUACAUUUGAGGAAGGUCAGCACUUACAUAACUCACAAUCAUCUAGCCCGUCUAGCCUCCCUUAAUAUGCCCUGUGUCACAAAAUUAGUAACAGUUUAGGACUGGAACACUCAGCUUCUCUCUCCCAAUGAAAAGUAAUUCAUUACAGCCAUGAAGGAGCAGAGGGAGGCUCCCUCUAAACCUGAGGACUCAGGGGAAGCAGCUCAGAAGUGAGAUGUUUUGGAGGAAUUAACUAGGUAAAGAAAACCUGAAGCAAUGGCAUAGACAAAGCAUGAAGAAAUGAACCAUCCCAGCGCAGCUGGGGAGGAAAAAGUGUAGACGGGAAUGGUGAUGCAACUUCAGCGACGGGAAAGGCAUGAUCAGAAAGGGUCACACUCGUCAGCCACGAAGCACGACUUUAUAGAGGAAGACCUGGGAAAUCAAAUAAGAAAAUUAUAUGAUUUAUUUUGUGUUUUUGAAAGAUUGGUCUGUUUAGAAAAAAAAAAAAAGUAGAGGAUGAGCUUUGUUCCUAAGGGGGGAAAAGGCAGAAAAAGGAGCUAGAUAGAGAAGACAGAACAGCAUGGCCAGAGGCCAGAGUCUGAGUGUCAGACAUGGCAGAGGGACCCGGGAGGUCCGACCACCAAUUUUAAGCUGCUUGUGG